AACACCAGACAAAACUGCAACAUAGCAAGGUUCAAACUCAGAUAUGAGUUUAUGCCUCAUCUGAAAGCCUUAAUUGGGCGAAGCUUACAUGGGACUGGUGUUUGCAGACUUAUUGUUUCUGCCUGCCUUGUGUGAGUCAUGAAAAGAAACAUCAUCUCAGGUGUCUCAGAUGCAUCCAGGCUGCUUUAACCUAUUUAUAGUGGCUCUUAAGGAGACAAGCUCACAUCCUUCCCACCAGAAGUUGCUACCAGUGCUGAACUACGGCCAUGCAGUGGAGGAGUUGGGGAUCUCCCAGUAACUCAGUUUCCAAUAAAAGAGACUAACAUCCUACAGUCAGGACUGCCAACAUUACCAUGGAAACCCCCAAAAAUAAAGACUUUCCCAGCCUUGUGAGAGCACACCUGCAAGAGCAAGAAUUGCCUGUCAAAGUGACUGU